rnacentral:ncRNA from 1 species
AAAAAAGUUUUAUUUUGGCUUAUAAAUUUAUUAUUAGUUUAAUUUAUAUGUAAAUUUUUGUGAGAAUAUUUAUUUAUUUAAAUAGUAAGUAAUUUUUAAUUAAAUCGCAGUAAUUAGUAUUAUUAAUUAAAGAAAUUUAGAGAUAGUAAUAUUAAAUAGUAUUGGUUAAAUUUGUGCCAGCAACCGCGGUUAUACGAAUAAUACAAAUAAAUUUAUUUAGUUUAAGUUAAAUUGAUUUUAUAGAAUAAAAAUAAAUUUAUUAGGUGAAAUUUUAAAUUUAUAGUUAUUUUUUAAUUAAAUGAUUGAAUCUUAUAAAUUUUAAUAGUAAACUAGGAUUAGAUACCCUAUUAUUUAAAAUGUAAUUUAAAAGACUAAGGCAGUAGUAGUUAUGAUCUUGAAACUUAAAAAAUUUGGCGGUAUUUUAGUCUAUUCAGAGGAACCUGUUUUAUAAUCGAUAAUCCACGAUGGACCUUACUUAAGUUUGUAUCAGUUUAUAUACCGUCGUUAUUAGAAUAUUUUAUAAGAAAGUUAAUUUUCAAAAAUUUUAAAAAGAAAGUAUAUCAGAUCAAGGUGUAGCUAAUGUUUAAGUAAAAAUGGGUUACAAUAAAAUUAUUUAUAUGAAUAUAAAUUUGAAAAAUUUAUUGAAGGUGGAUUUGAUAGUAAAAUUAUAAAGAUUAAUAAUUUGAUUUUAGCUCUAAAAUAUGCACACAUCGCCCGUCACUCUUACUAUUAAGGUAAGAUAAGUCGUAACAUAGUAGAUGUACUGGAAAGUGUACCUAGAAUG